GGGCAACUGAGGAGCCUAGGAUGCAACAUUUAAGGAGGCACUCGCUCUCCGACGCUGACGCUGCACUCGCAUGACUCUGAGAGUGUCUCCUUAAAUGUUGCUUUCUUGGUGCCCCACUUACCCCAUCCUAGUCCUGGCCCUGUUUGACUCAGUUUUCUGGACCUACAGCUGAAACCUCUAACUGGAGGUAGAUGCUACUGUGCUCCUCAUUUUAAGAGUGAGAAAACUGAGGCCAAGGUCACACAGUAGUAAGUGGAGCAGCCAAGAUUCAAACCCUCUGAGAGUCUGAGUGCACAACUCCUCCAGUUAACCGUCGGCAGUACGGACACAUGAAGCUGAAGCACUUGUAGGAUGUCACAUGGAGCUGCCCAGUGGACAAGCUGACCUGGAGUUCAGGAGGGAGAUUCUGAGCAACGGUUAAAGACCUAGGAGGAAUCAAGGCAUCGGAAGGGAUGAAAGCGUCCAAGGCGGGUUAACAAGCUAUCCCCUCACAGUGCUGUCAAUCGUUUUCUGUUGUCCUUUGGCAUUUAAUUAUUACAGAGGAAGAAUCUGAAGAAAACCAGUUUUUAGCUUUUUUAUAAUUUUUUUUUCUGAUUGGAUACUGUGUUUGUUCUUUACCCCUGAAAUUUAAGAAGUUUUCUAGAUUAUGUCUUGAAGUUGGUUUCCGCUUACUCAUUUUUCUGGAUCCCAGUGAACUCACUCAAUUUUCCAUUUCCACCUCAGAUCUUUUCACAUCUAAGGCAAGUUUUCUUUUAUUAUCAUUUUAAUUAUUGCUUCUAAUUGAUUUGCUCUGUCUUCUUUUAGGGGAAUUCCUAUAGUUUGACUCUCCAUGACGUUCUCCUAUCCAUUUUCUUCUCUCUCAAAGAAUUCCAGCACUUUGAAUUUUUCAUAUAUUUAGCCUCUAUAUUGCUGAUUUGCUGUUGCAUUGUCAAAUCUGCCUUUUACUGCUUUGACCAUUGCAUUUUGCUUUGGUUACAGUGGUUUUAAUUUCGUAGUACUUGCCAUUUACUUUGGCCUAUUCUUCAGAAGAUGCAACUUCCUCUUGUAAUCAAGAAUAACCAUUAGCUGUUUUCUAAAACUGUGUUCUGCUUCAUGGACUAAAUAUAUGUCAAAGAAGUAAUUUUUGGCUCUAGCACUUUAUUUCUUUUCUC
rnacentral:lncRNA from 1 species